GGUGCCAUGGUCUAGUGGUAUGACGACACAUUGUGGCUGUGUUAGCCCCAGUUCGAUUCCGGGUGGCGCCA
rnacentral:tRNA from 1 species